CAAGAGUUUUGCGUGCCCACAUAAAGGCCAUAGACAAGGUGAGGGUACAAGCGCAAGUGGGGGAAAUCAAGGUCAAAAUGCAGGGGGUAAGGAGAUGCAGACAGCAGAGGCUGGGCCUAGUCAGUCUAGAGAUGGUGGUGUAGAUGAGGCUGGGCCUAGUCAGGCUAGAGAUGGUAGGGUAGUGGAGGCUGGGUCUAGUCAGGCUAGAGAUGGUGGAGAAGCGGAGGCUGGGUCUAGUCAGGCUAGAGAUGGUGGGGUAGCUGAGGCUGGGCCUAGACAUGCUAUGGAGGGUGGUGCAGAUGAUGCUGGGCCGAGUCAUGCUAUGGAGGGUGGUGCAGAUGAUACUGCGUCUAGUCAGGUUAUUCUAGUGGAUGAGGAGAGUAUAGUGGGGAAGUGUAAGAGAUUAGGGGGAGAGGAGGAGGGUGUCAAGAGGAAAAGGAAAAAGGGUGUAGACAAAGGCACCAUGGAAAUGUUGCCUGUUGCUGUGGGUGAGGCCCUAACCAGAGAGAAAGGGCAGGUGGUCAGGGUGGGAGAUAGAGAAGAGGAGGAAAGUGAGUCUGAGGAAGAGGAUGAGGAGUUAUUUUUUUCAGACUCCUCUUCAAUUGGCCCGGAGCUGACAGCCAG
ensembl:lncRNA